rnacentral:rRNA from 1 species
AUGGGGAAGAAGGGCAAGGCGGCGGCAAGGGAGCGCCGGGAGGAGCGGCGGCGGGAAGUCACGCUCCUCCGCGCCGUACCCUACGAGCCCCACCAGCGGUGGUGGGACGGCCUCGCGCCGGCGCGCGCCGUGGCGGUGGUGACGGGGGCCAGCCGCGGCAUCGGCUACGAGAUCUCCCGCCAGCUCGCGCGCCACGGCCUCCACGUCGUCCUCGCCUCGCGCGACGCCGCGCGGGGCAGGGACGCCGCGGAGGGGAUCCUCCGCGAGGAGGGCACGAGCGCGGAGUGGCGGCAGCUCGACGUGGCGGACGCCGCGUCGGUCGAGGCCUUCGCCGCCUGGACGGCGCGGACCCACGGCGGCAUCCAUGUCCUUAUUAACAAUGCAGGUGUAAACUUCAACAGAGGAGCAGAUAACUCUGUUGAAUUUGCAGAGCAAGUAAUUGAGACAAAUUAUUUUGGUACAAGGCGGAUGAUUGAAGCCAUGCUACCAUUACUGAAACCUUCUCCGUAUGGUGGCCGGAUAGUGAAUGUGAGCUCAAGGCUUGGCAGGGCCAAUGGCAGACGCAAUAAAAUCGGCGAUGCGAUCCUAAGAGAGCAACUAUUAACUGAUGAUUGCUUAUCUGAGGAAUUGAUUGAUGGGAUGGUCACUAAAUUCCUUGAACAAGUGAAGCAAAAUAGUUGGUCCUCCAUUGAGUGGCCUCAGAUGUACACGGACUAUUCGGUCUCAAAGUUUGCUGUUAAUGUGUAUACAAGACUCAUGGCAAGGAGGUUAUCUGACAGGUCUGAAGGCCAAAAGAUUUACAUUAACUGUUUCUGUCCUGGCUGGGUAAAGACUGCCAUGACUGAUUGGGAAGGGAACAUUUCAGCCGAAGAAGGUGCUGAUACUGGAGUGUGGCUUGCUCUGUUACCCCAGGAACAAGCAACAAUUGGAAAGUUCUAUGCUGAGAGACGCGAGAUAAGCUUCUGA